GUCCAAGGCCAUAUCAUCCUGAACGCACCCAAUCUCAUCUGGACUUGGAAGCUAAGCAGGGUUAGGCCUGGUUACUACUUGGAUGGGAGACAGAUCUUCAAAACAGACUGCUCAGAGACA
rnacentral:rRNA from 1 species